rnacentral:rRNA from 1 species
ACCGGCGGACGGGUGCGUAACGCGUAUGCAACCUACCUUCAACUGGGGAAUAGCCCGUGGAAACAUGGAUUAAUGCCCCAUAAAACAGGGGGCCCGCAUGGGUCUAUUUGUUAAAGAUUUAUUGGUUGGAGAUGGGCAUGCGUCUGAUUAGUUAGUUGGCGGGGUAACGGCCCACCAAGACGACGAUCAGUAGGGGUUCUGAGAGGAUGAUCCCCCACACUGGCACUGAGAUACGGGCCAGACUCCUACGGGAGGCAGCAGUAGGGAAUAUUGGUCAAUGGGCGAAAGCCUGAACCAGCCAUGCCGCGUGCAGGAAGACGGCCUUCUGGGUUGUAAACUGCUUUUAUCAAGGAAGAAAAAGGCCCUGCGGGGCAAAUUGACUGUAUUUGAUGAAUAAGCACCGGCUAACUACGUGCCAGCAGCCGCGGUAAUACGUAGGGUGCAAGCGUUGUCCGGAUUUAUUGGGUUUAAAGGGUGCGUAGGCGGCCUUAUAAGUCAGUGGUGAAAUCCUGCAGCUCAACUGUAGAUGUGCCAUUGAUACUGUAAGGCUUGAGUACAGACGAGGUAGGCGGAAUUUAUGGUGUAGCGGUGAAAUGCAUAGAUACCAUAAAGAACACCGAUAGAGAAGUCAGCUUACUAGGCUGUAACUGACGCUGAGGCACGAAAGCGUGGGGAUCGAACAGGAUUAGAUACCCUGGUAGUCCACGCCGUAAACGAUGUUCACUCGCUGUUGGCGAUACACAGUCAGCGGCCAAGCGAAAGCGUAA